rnacentral:rRNA from 1 species
AUACGGAGGAUCCGAGCGUUAUCCGGAUUUAUUGGGUUUAAAGGGUGCGCAGGCGGCCAUUUAAGUCAGCGGUUAAAUCGUGGGGCUCAACCCCAUUCUGCCGUUGAUACUGGGUGGCUUGAUUGCGGUCGAGGUUGGCGGAAUUCGUUGUGUAGCGGUGAAAUGCAUAGAUAUGACGAAGAACACCGAUUGCGUAGGCAGCUGACCAGACCGCAAAUGACGCUCAUGCACGAAAGUGCGGGUAUCGAACAGGAUUAGAUACCCUGGUAGUCCGCACAGUAAACGAUGAAUACUUGUUUUCGGCGAUAUAAUGUCGGAGGCAAAGCGAAAGCGAUAAGUAUUCCACCUGGGGAGUACGCCGGCAACGGUGAAACUCAAAUGAAUUGACGGGG